UCCAACUGCCAUCACUAUUCUCAAAAACCUAUUUAUCUAUAAGAGAUUGUUUAGUAAGAUUUGUCCUUAUUUCAGUGUAAAGAAGGACAAAUUAUUUUGGUAGCCAAGACAGGUAAGGUAGCCAAGCUCAACCUAUGACUACUUCUGCACCUGUCCACUGGAAUGUAGCAUAAUCGAUUUGUAACAUUAUGCAUUUUCAAUUCCAGGGCAUCAGCACUGGUGGCCAAACCCUGUCAUUUGGCUGCUGCAACAAGAGCCAGAGUAAUAGCAGGAAAGGACAGAGAUGUAGGUGCUCAGGCUAUUUAGAACUGCUAGUGGCCUAUGGCCAGGCUGUGCUUUCAGAAGACGUCAAAGUCGGAAUUUCCAGAAGCAGCAAGCUAUGGCUAGUUACGUAUUGAAUCAGGAUUUAAUAGAUAUUACUGUGGUCUUCUUUCCUUUGGAGGCUGUUCACCUGUGUUUGUGAGGGAUUCACUACAGCAGAGGGGAUUCAUAGCAUAUCAAAACUGAGAGCAAAACUUGGCUUCAGCAGGAGUUUUGUUUCAAUAGGAACUUUGGCCACCCUGUGUUGAAAGCAAGCCUGUAGAUAUUUGCAUGUGUGUGUCUGCGUGUACAAUGUACACACAUACAUAUUUAUGUGUGUGUGUGAACGAAAAUAUCUGUGAAAAUGCGUAAUUUCUUGGCUCUCAUCCUAACCUUUGUGCAACUGGGUGCUGGGAUCUGGAUAUUCAGUGUGCUUAGCAGCACUUUUUAAUGAAGAGGUGUUUUCUCCCUUGGAGCUGUCAUUCUCUGCCACAUCACAGACUCUUUCAGACAGAAAAAUAAUUGGCCACUUUCUCCAGAACCGGGGAGCCCCAGGGACCGACGGAGUGCUCAGCGAACCGGGACAGUGGCUCACAGUGGUGCCCACUGGUGUCCCCCCAGCGGGCACUGGUGCUGCUCCCCACCCGGGUCCUGCCCUCGGGGGCACCACCCACCCCACAGCUCCUCAGUGAGGUCUGGUCAAUGGUGAAAUGUGACAGACGAGACCCAAAACCUCGGGAGGAGAAAGGUGAAACAAAAUGGACAAUUUCUUCCAGAGCUGUUCUGCUACCAGCCUGAAAUGCAGGCUUGCUUUGCUCUGUUUUUUUCUGAAACCUGUGUAAUGGCUGCCUGCAGGGAUGGUUUUCUACGUUUGCAGCAGGAUUUUUUAUUAUUUUUUCCAAAUGCGGAUUUUUUUCAACAGUAUUUAUUCUACUCAGAGUCUGCCAAUAUCCACCUUUCAUCAAGAAGUGCCCCGAGUUGUUAGCAUCCAGAGACAGGCAAUGCACUAAAAAUCCAUCCCUUAGAACCUCCCACUCUACACCCCAUGUAGAGAAGUGAUGAAAAAUAUGGUGAAGGCUGGAUACUAAGAGCACUUGCCUGGCGAACGCAAACACAACACAGCUUAACCUGCUUUGUAAAGUUCCUCUGGGUCCGGGUCUGCCACUUCCUAAUCACUGCUCGCUGUCCUGACUGCUGCUGUUACCACAGCACAAACCCUGUGGGGUCCCACCCUUUUCCCAAGGGUCGGUGACUGGAGGGGUGGCCCGUGCUCUGGGCAGCUGGUGGCAGCAUCUGCCCCGCGGGUAAAAAGCCCCUGGCUCUCGUAGCUUCCUGGGCCGAAGGAAAAGCGUGUCCUUGCUUUGCUGUGAUACCUCACGGGCCGACUGCUUAUCUCUGACUCACUCUCACGUGUCAUUUAGGAGAUAAGGCUGGGAAGAGAUCCGGAGGAGCAGCAGAGGCAGGCAUUCUUUUCAGGAGCCAAGGACAUGCAUCCUGCAGGCAGCAGGAACACAGCCUUGGGAACACAUCCUCAGCGUGGAAGGGUACGGCCCCUGUUUGAUAUCAUCAUCCCGAGGCUCUGUAUUUUACCUGCCCUGUUGUUCCCCCGCCUUAGGCUAUAUACAAGAGAAAUUGGAAGGUGGGUAGGGCUGAAUAAUGUGUAAAGUAGGCAGAAAUGUUGCCAUGAUAACGUUAUGUUUACCAAGGCCUCACCACCAUGUGGACAUCAGGGUCUGACUGCUCACACCAAGUUCCUUGCUGCUUUCUAAGGGUCGUAUCUUAAGAGCUCUGUAUUUUUAUUUAGAUCCUUUUCCUAUUCCUUAUAUCCUUUUCUGCCCUUCAGUCCAUAGCCAUGGGUAACAGGAGAACCAGUAAGUGCCUGAGAUGUGAAUAAUGGGAAAGGAAAAAAUAGUAAAAACAAAACAAACCCCAGAAAAAGAGACAACCAAAAAGCAAUAUGAAAAGAAUAUGCAUUUGUGAUAUUGUUUAACGAUCUUCUGUAACGUUACUCAUUUGUCUGAACUCAUCUGUAAAAUUCAAAUUCUUCAAGCUAACAUUUUCCCUCACUAAUGUGCUAGGAUAGUCAUCAGUGCUAGAAAACACAGUGUUCAUAUUUCACACUGAACUUAUUUGGAGAGAAGCGGUGCAGAGAUCACUCACUUCACAUUGUCCUUAUGUCACCAAAAAGCAAAUUGUGGUGGUUCCAUUGCGAGGGAUGUGAGUUUUUUUUUUGGGGUGGGCUGGGAGGUGAAGAUGUAGGUCACAUCUUUUUUAUUUCUUCAUAAUGUAAGGUAAUUCCUUCUGCUAUGUAUAUUCUAAAUCUCAGCUGCUAAACAAACAAAACCGAGGAGGGCAAUUCUGGCAGGACUGGUACCGAUGGCGGGAACCCUCCUGCCCGGAGUGAGGAGAUAUCUCACCGGGGUGUCCA